CAAGCCCGACCCUACGCCGGAGUCAUUCCGGAGGACGCUUUACUGGGUUCGGCUUUGAGUUUUUCCUAAAUGUAUUAUGUGCUGCUUCAGAGCUGGAGCUGAGGACUUGUUGAUUACCUCCCAAUGUUUACCAAGAUUACAACAAAUUAUAUUUAACUGGACUGGCUCGUGAAUGAUUUAAUGUUAGACAUGGAUGAGAAAUAUUGCUGUAUAAACCACAAAGCUGCAAAUUUUCUGUAGCAUCUAGCGUCCUCAGCAUGACUCUGAAGGCUCUCCACAACUUGAUUACAGCUGACUUUUCAAGGCUUCAUUUUUACUCCCCUUCCUCCUUGUACCCUACAAAUCCGGGAGUGUUUACUGCUCUGUAACCACUCACAUAGCUCUCUCAGCCUGGAGUGCUCUUACUGUCCCUCUGUGUGAGGAAGUCUUCAGCUACAUGUUGCCUCAUCCAAGAAGUCUUCUUAGAUGUCCCCUGGUGGAAGCAAUGUAUCAUUCUAUU